CACUUGUUGAGAACUCGUCACCUGAGUU
rnacentral:sRNA from 1 species